UACGGAGGGUGCGAGCGUUGUUCGGAAUCAUUGGGCGUAAAGCGCAUGCAGGCGGCCAGCCAAGUCCGGUGUGAAAUCCCGGGGCUCAACCCCGGAAUGGCAUUGGAAACUGGUUGGCUUGAGUCCGAGAGGGGUUAGUGGAAUUCCUGGUGUAGGAGUGAAAUCCGUAGAGAUCAGGAGGAACACCGGUGGCGAAGGCGACUGACUGGAUCGGAACUGACGCUGAGAUGCGAAAGUGUGGGUAGCAAACAGG
rnacentral:misc_RNA from 1 species